rnacentral:rRNA from 1 species
CAGCCGUAAACUAUGCGCGUUAGGUGUACUGGUGACCACGAGUCACCGGGGUGCCGAAGGGAAACCGUGAAACGUGCCGCCUGGGAAGUACGGUCGCAAGGCUGAAACUUAAAGGAAUUGGCGGGGGAGCACCACAACAGGUGGAGCCUGCGGUUUAAUUGGACUCAACGCCGGGAAGCUCACCGGAUAGGACAGCAGAAUGAAGGCCAAGCUGAAGACUUUGCCGGAUUAGCUGAGAGGAGGUGCAUGGCGUAGUCGUGU